UUGCGCAGGUACUUUGGGGACUCUAGCUAACCUCGGGCUGAUCGCACGUCCCUGUGAUGGCGACAACACAUUCAGAUGUCUGGCCUAUCAACUUUCGAUGUUACUUUCUGCGCCUACCAUGGUGACCAUGGUAACGGGGAAUCAGGGUUGGAUUCCAGAGAGGGAGCCUGAGAAAUGGCUUCCACAUCCAAGGAAGGCAGCAGGUACGCAAAUUACCCACUCCCGACGUGGGGAGGUAGUGAUGAAA